UACGUAGGCGGCAAGCGUUGUCCGGAUUUACUGGGUGUAAAGGGCGUGCAGCCGGAGAGACAAGUCAGAUGUGAAAUCCACGGGCUCAACCCGUGAACUGCAUUUGAAACUGUUUCCCUUGAGUGUCGGAGAGGUAAUCGGAAUUCCUUGUGUAGCGGUGAAAUGCGUAGAUAUAAGGAAGAACACCAGUGGCGAAGGCGGAUUACUGGACGAUAACUGACGGUGAGGCGCGAAAGCGUGGGUAGCAAACAGG
rnacentral:rRNA from 1 species